CCCUUAGAUGUUCUGGGCCGCACGCGCGCUACACUGAUGAAUGCAACGAGCUCUACCCUUGACCGAAAGGCCCGGGUAAACUUGUGAAACUUCAUCGUGAUGGGGAUAGAUUAUUGCAAUUAUUAAUCUUCAACGAGGAAUUCCUAGUAAGCGCGAGUCAUCAGCUCGCGUUGAUUACGUCCCUGCCCUUUGUACACACCGCCCGUCGCUCCUACCGAUUGGGUGUGCUGGUGAAAUGUUCGGAUCGGCCGUUUGUCGCGGUUUCCGCGUCAUGUGGCUGAGAAGUUCAUUAAACCCUCCCACCUAGAGGAAGGAGAAGUCGUAACA
rnacentral:rRNA from 1 species